rnacentral:lncRNA from 1 species
AUGCUUCUGGAAACACAACCAGUUGAGAUCCAUAUGAAGAUGCUUCAGCUAACAAUCUCUCUGCCUUAUCUGUUUAUACAACAGAGAUUAAUUCCAUUAUACAAAUUGCUUUGAUUUUCAUCAACACUUCAAUAAAAUUUAAAGUGAACCAUUUGUUUGGUUGCAGAGGAAAUAAAGGCAAAGAAAAGAAAAAAUAGUUUAAACACUCCAGGGCCUGUUUGAUAGCAGGAAUCAGAAUUACCACCCUUUUAAAAAAACAUAGGAAAAGAGAAUUGGCAUAGGAAACAUAUUCAGUAAUAAGAUUCCAAAAAUUGCUUUGGUAAAACAUCUUACUGGAAAUGGAUUAUUUUUCUUUAGAAAAUGUGAUAAUUUUGUUUUCAUAUUUUAUAAAAUUCAAGCAUUUUGGUAAUUGAAAAUGAUCCAAAAACAAAUCUAUCCAAUGCUUGUUGCAAGCACUCUACCAAACAAGCCCCACAAUUUUGUUGUUUCAAAUUUCCAGAAAAUGAAGUGCGCUCAAUCUUAUUUCACUGGAAGCUUCUAGCUUUUUGUUUCCUAAGGCCCCAAAUCACGAAAUUCCCAAAAUUCAAAAUCUAGAAUUCUACUAAUCAUCGUUACAGUCCGUUUCGCAGUGAUUUUAGGAAGUGUUUUUAAAUUUUUUAACACUUAAAUUUUUUUAUCAUUUAAGUGUUAGAUAGACUAAAAAGGUUUUUUAGAAUCACUACCGAACGCAACUCGACGAAGUUACAAAACACUACAAUCUUAACUACGCAACAUAGAUGUGUUGUGGAUGACCCCAACACAUUCUUUUGACCAAAAAAAAUAAAAUUAUAUUCCGAUUAGGAAUUUGAGAUUCCUCCCAACAAGAUCACCCCAAUUUGUUGGCUGAGAAAUAAACGAGAAAAUAAAUUACUGUGAACACCGUGUUUGUUUGCACUGGUCUCCCAAUUCAGCAAAAAGACAACUCAAAAGAAAAAGCCAAAACAACUUCAUUAACCCGAGCAAUGAAGAGUUGCAAUCAAAUUGGAAGAGGUAGGCUCAAAACUCAAAUUAGCAUGCAUUUUCUUUUCUAUAUCAUCCGAGCAACCAAAGAGAAAAGUUGGGGGAAGGAGAAAAGAGAGAAGGUGGUAAAGAACCGAGAGUGGCAGGAGUGUCGUAGAAGACAGUGGAGGCCUGGACGACGGUGGCUCGGACAGUGGGUGCGGAAGAAUCUGCGCCCAUGUCCACUUCAGCGAAGAGUGGCCGGUCGUUCACUGUGGCUGGUAUGAG